UUUUUUUUAUAUUUGUAUACAUAAAGGAGUAGGUUCAGUAAGACCCCUUUUUGGCCCCAAAAUAUAGCAGUUUUACAAAAUUGUUAAAAUGUAAACCUUUAGUUAUUUAUUGGACAGUAGAAUGCUUCUGCUACAUAAAUAUGGGCUGUUUUUGACAAUACAAUGCACAUAUAUCCGGUACUAGCACCAUUAAGUCAUGCUAAAUUACUGAAAUCCACAUAAUUCUAGCAUUUUAGUUAAAUUUUAGACGGUUUUCGUGUUAAACAAAAGUGGCCGCAUUCGUGUUCAUCCUUAAUAUUGAAAUGUAAGUUGUAUUUUAUGAUAAUACAUAACAUACAUAAAGGUUAAGGAUGAACACUUUCAUUUUUACCAAAAAACAUCUGAAAAGUGACAUUUUUCGGCA
rnacentral:lncRNA from 1 species